rnacentral:lncRNA from 10 species
UUUUUAUUUGUACAAAUUUAUUACAUGUAUAUUUAUUACAUGUACAACUUUGUUACAUGUAUAUAAUAUGUAGUGGUCAAGUCAGGGUAUUUGGGGUGUCUGUCACCCGAGUAAAAAACAGUUUUGGGGUUUUCUGUUUCUUUGUUUUUUUAUAGAGUCAAGAUUUCAGUAUGUUGCCCAGGCUGGUCUCAAACUCCUGGGCUCAAGCAGUCCUCCAGACUUAGUCUCCCAAAGUGCUGUGAUUACAGGCAUAAACCACCAUGCCCAGCCCAAGUACAAAACAUUUUUGUUAAGUAUAGUCACCCUACUGUGCUGUCAAACAUUUUAUGUAUUCCUUCUUACUGUGUGUUUUUACCCUUUAACCCGCUUCUCUUCAUCCUCCCUUUACCCCUGCCCCACCCCUCCCAGUCUCUGUUCUCUAUUUUCCACUCUUUACCUCCAUGUGAUCCCAUUUUUUAGCUCCCACAUAUAAGUGAGGACAUGCGAUAUUUGUCUUUUUGUGCCUGGCUUAUUUCAUUUCAGAUAAUAACCAGUUCCUGGAUGUGAUACAUUUUUACUUCAGUUCUUCAUUUCACUUGGCAAACUAUACUUGGCCCUUUCUUAAUGGAUUUAUCUUUGCUAAACAGCAGUUGCUUUAAACAGCAAUUUUUUAAAAUUGUUAUUAGAAAAGCAGUUCAUGCCUACUGUAAAAACAUUUCUAAAAUAGGAAAGUAUGGUGUUCAAAGUGAAAGUCUCCUCCUCCUCAAUUUCACUCUGCAGAAAUCAACCAUAUUCAUAGCUUGGUAUGUAUCUCUGUAGGAUCAAAGAUUCCAAACUGAGAUAAUAUAAGAGUGAGUCUACCAAGUAGGAACGGCAGUGAACUGGAAGUGUCCCACCUGAGGGGGACAGCCUCUACUCAGGGCCAGAAGGAUUAAUUCAAACACUUCUGAGCUGCCAGUCUGAAACUGUGUCCGGAAUUGGUGGAUUCUUGGUCUCACUGACUUCAAGAAUGAAGCCGCGGACCCUCGCAGUGAGUGUUACAGCUCUUAAGGUGGUGCGUCUGGAGUCUGUCCCUUCUGAUGUUCAGAUGUGUUCGGAGUUUUUUCCUUCUGGUGGGUUCGUGGUCUCGCUGGCUCAGGAGUGAAGC